AUCCCCGUAGCACAAUGUAUAGCGUGUUGGACUUCUAAUCCAAAGGUCCUGGAUUCAAAUUCCACCUGGGAUA